AGAAUCUAAAUUUCUUCAAAUUUUGAUAGAAAAUACUUUAAACUAUAUAGAUUAAGGUUAACAUUCUUGAUCUUGAAUUUAAAAGUCCUAUACUCAAAUUUUAAAAAUUAUUCAAUUUUCACCGCCCAUUUUGAUAUAAUUUAUUUACUAAGUAAACGAUAUCGAAAAAAACUAAAAUUUUAUUCCUAAGACAUUCAUAUACCCUAGAUCAUAUUUAACGGUGUGGAUCGUUGAUUUGAACGCCCUAUGAUCGAAAACAAACACUAUAGUACCGGAGCUCAGUACUAUAGAUAGUAUAGUAGCCUAAUUCUAACAAACACUAUAGUCCAGCUGCUAUACUAUCGGUAACACGGAGGAUUCCGUGCUACAAAGUUCUUUUCGAUGAUGCGGCUUUCAAAUCGACGAUCGGCUCCGUUAGACAUGAUCUACACUAUUGAACGUAUUUGGAAACUAAAUUUCAGAAUUUUUCGACAUCAUUUGGCUAGUGAUCAAAAGGUCUCAAAAUUGACAAUUUUAAUGGUAGAUGUGAUGCAUUUGUAAAUUUAACGGUGUAAAACAAUCCAAAUCAGAUGAAAUUUUUAUAGAAAAUUUUUUUUACUAUUUAGAGUAAGAUCAGUAUCUCUGAUCUUAAAUUCAAGUCUUCUAUCAUCAUUUUUUAUGAGAUUUUUAUUUUCAGCCGUUUAUUUUUAGACUACUCGUUUGAUAGGUAAAUGAUGCCAAAAAAUUAUAAAAUUUAGUUUCCAAAUACUUUCAAUAGUGUAGAUCAAGUCUAACGGAACCGAUCGUCGAUUUGAAAGUGGUAUCAUUGAAAACAACUUGGUAGCACGGAGGUGUCCGUGCUACCGAUAGUAUAGCAGUCUAACUAAAUUUCAGAAUUUUUCGACAUCAUUUGGCUAGUGAUCAAAAGGUCUCAAAAUUGACAAUUUUAAUGGUAGAUGUGAUGCAUUUGUAAAUUUAACGGUGUAAAACAAUCCAAAUCAGAUGAAAUUUUUAUAGAAAAUUCUUUUCACCAUUUAUAGUAAAAUCAGUAUCUCUGAUCUUAAAUUCAAGUCUUCUAUCAUCAUUUUUUAUGAGAUUUUUAUUUUCAGCCGUUUAUUUUUAGACUACUCGUUUGAUAGGUAAAUGAUGCCAAAAAAUUAUAAAAUUUAGUUUCCAAAUACUUUCAAUAGUGUAGAUCAAGUCUAACGGAACCGAUCGUCGAUUUGAAAGUGGCAUCAUUGAAAACAACUUGGUAGCACGGA
rnacentral:lncRNA from 1 species